GACAGGAUGGACCAGGAGUCAGGCAGCUACAAUCCCACAUCAGCUGGUUGGGAAUGGAAUGUUGCUUCCCUGUCCCCAGCUCCCACUAUUGUAAGAUGAGCUCCAAGAAGAUAAGGACAUGGUCAACUUUUUCUACUAUGUCGUCACACAAUGCCUGGCCCACAGUGGGGGUACAAGCACUACAGGUUGAGUACUACAAAGUUUAAACCCUGGCAAGGGGUCAGGCUGGCUACCCCACUCCAAAGGCAGAUGAGGAGUCAGGGGUGAAGCUGUGUGAUUUAGGCAAAGAGAAGUUCCUCUCUGGUCUGAGGUUUCCAACCUGUUCAAUUUUAACCUGCCACCUUUUAUGUCCAAAGGAGUCCUUUCUGACUCAUUAUCUCUGGGCAGGGUGGGACUACUACAGGGUGCCAUGGGGUACUGUGAGCUGGGCUGUACUUGCCCCUGGAAUGUUGUCACGUCUCCUCCCUCCCUCCCAGAUAAAACCCAAGCAUAAGCGAGAUCCUGGAGGUGAUGCGAGCCAUCUUAGACAUCCCAGAGAGCCCCAGCCUUUGCACUGAUGUUAUUAACAUUAUGAUUCACUUUCCUGUUGUAUUUUUUCAUCUCAGCUGCAGCUGCUUCCCACCGCUCCCCGCCCACUGCUAGAAGACUGUUUAAAGUAAAUCCUUCUAAAAUGC
rnacentral:antisense_RNA from 1 species